UACGUAGGUGGCAAGCGUUGUCCGGAAUUACUGGGUGUAAAGCGCGUGUAGGCGGUCCGGUAAGUCCGCUGUGAAAGUCGGGGGCUCAACCCUCGAAUGCCGGUGGAUACUGUCGGGCUAGAGUGCGGAAGAGGCGAGUGGAAUUCCUGGUGUAGCGGUGAAAUGCGCAGAUAUCAGGAGGAACACCAAUUGCGAAGGCAGCUCGCUGGGACGUAACUGACGCUGAGACGCGAAAGCGUGGGGAGCAAACAGG
rnacentral:rRNA from 1 species